rnacentral:miRNA from 11 species
GCCUGAUUUCUAUAUAUAUAUGUGUGUGUGUGUGUGUGUGUGUGUGUGUGUGUAUAUAUAUAUAUACACACACACACACACAUAUACACACACAUAU